rnacentral:lncRNA from 1 species
CAUUCAGCAGAGUUCUGGGAAUGCCCUCCUUAGAAAUACCUCCAGAGCGGCCUGGGAAGAAUAGAAGGCAUAUUAGAAGUGCAAAACUGGAGAGGGCUGAAGCAAAGGAAAACUAUCCACUCUCCGGUCUUGCCAGUUCAAUGCAAAGCCUUCUUUCAGAGAUGACCUGCAGGGUUGGUGGCAAGUGCUGCUCUGGUGUGUGACAAAGGAAAGCAGUACAAGCACAAAGCACACAGAGGAACAGAGAUGGAUGGGAAGG